UUUCCGUAGGUGAACCUGCGGAAGGAUCAUUAAUGAAUUAGGGUGGCCAUUUAACUGGUGCCCAAACCUUCAUUUCCAACCCUGUGCACUAUUGUGGUAUUGCAAAGCUUUGGUCAUUUUCUAAUGGCUAAAGUGGAACUUUACUAUUUUCAUUUUAAAACGCUUGUAAUAGAAUGUAACAAAAACUAUAAUAAAGAAAAACUUUCAACAACGGAUCUCUUGGCUCUCGCAUCGAUGAAGAACGCAGC
rnacentral:misc_RNA from 1 species